rnacentral:lncRNA from 1 species
CCAUGCGAAAGGGACACGCGCCAAUCCACAUUAAAAAAAAAAAAAAGAAAAAGAAAAAGAAAAAGAAAACAGUUUGUGUGUUUUGUAAAAUCCACAAGAGCAGCAAUUAAUAUUCCCAUAGAAUGACUUUAUUUUUUAUUAUUAUUAUUAUUUUGUCUCUCCCCUUUGUUUCCAGCGCCAGCCCCUGGCUCAGUGCCUGGUGCCAACAGAACACCUUUCAGGAUCCACAGCAACGCAGACAACGAGUCCAAGAUCCCGGCCUCUGCUUGGAACGGAACAGUGUCAUGGCGGAGACGACGGCCUUUGUCUUGCUGGGUGUGAAAGCAUCCGCUGUGCUUGCUCCACUGCGGCAGAAUCAAGUUUAAAGGAAGAAAGUGAUUAAAGUCAGCUUUGUGCCUCUUUGGUGUGGAAGACCCCCAAACCCCAAGUAGCCGAGUCUCUGGGUCCGAGGAAGGGCUCAUAGUUGGAGCAGCCUAGGCUGUAAUCCUGGCACUUGCGCCUUCGGUUGCUGCUUUCUGUUCGCUCCUGGGGGUCUGGAUAAUCUCCCUUGGCUUUACCGCACUGUCUGGCCCGCAUACAGGGCCCUCGUAACAUAUACCCGCUGCUGCUAUCGCACGAAACUGUGGCGUUGCCCCUGAAUGGAUGGCACUGUGCCAACUCUUCUGCCAUCCGCCCUUGCAGCUUUUUUCUUUCCUCCCUCCCUCCCCUUCUUCUCCUCCUCCUCUCGUCGACUUGACGUUAAUUAACACACGGGUUAAUUGAUUUUAAAAGCCGAAGAAUUACAGUUAACUUUUCCCACAGGGUACAGACGCCAGCCGCUUGGCACACUCUGCCUUCCGCACUGGUGCAGGGGGGCAGGGAAAGCCCGCAGCAAAACUGGCAACUGCUGAGGGAACGUUGCCUGCUUAUUGGAGUAGAGCCGAUAGAAGUCGACGUGAUACUGCCUCGUCCUUACGGUAUAUAUAGCCAUUCUAUAUUUUGUUAAAUAAUCAAAGCACACCCUGUCUCUCUUCUCCCUUCGUCUUUCAAAACAGGAAAACCCUUCAGAAGUUCUUAUGGGGGGAAAAAUCCCUCCUAACCCAUUUAUCUCAUCCAUAAUAUGCCCUUUCCCAAUAAUAAGAAAAUACCUGAAGCCUUUUUUCUUUAAGUUACAAGGAGGAAGGCAACCGCUUC